rnacentral:rRNA from 1 species
CCUACGGGAGGCAGCAGUGAGGAAUAUUGGUCAAUGGGCGCAAGCCUGAACCAGCCAAGUAGCGUGCAGGAUGACUGCCCUACGGGUUGUAAACUUCUUUUAUAAAGGAAUAAAGCGAGUCACGUGUGCCUUUUUGCAUGUACUGUAUGAAUAAGGAUCGGCUAACUCCGUGCCAGCAGCCGCGGUAAUACGGAGGAUCCGGGCGUUAUCCGGAUUUAUUGGGUUUAAAGGGAGCGUAGAGUGGUUGUUAAGUGAGGUGUGAAAGUUUGCGGAGCAACCCUAAAAUUGCAAUUGGUACUGGCAGGCUUGAGUACAGUGGAGGCAGGCGGAAUUCGUGGUGUAGCGGUGAAAUGCUUAGAUAUCACGAAGAACUCCGAUUGCGAAGGCAGCCUACUAAACUGCAACUGACAUUGAUGCUCGAAAGUGUGGGUAUCAAACAGGAUUAGAUACCCCUGUAGUC